rnacentral:misc_RNA from 1 species
GAUGAAGAACGUAGCGAAAUGCGAUAAGUAAUGUGAAUUGCAGAAUUCAGUGAAUCAUCGAAUCUUUGAACGCACAUUGCGCCCCUUGGUAUUCCGAGGGGCAUGCCUGUUCGAGCGUCAUAUUAACCACUCCCGCUUGCGGGGUCUUGGGCUUCGCCUCCGGGCGGGCCUUAAAAUCAGUGGAGGUGCCGUCGGGCUCUACGCGUAGUAAAUUUUCUCGCGAUAGGGUCCCGGUGGAUGCUUGCCAACAACCCCCAACUUCUUAAGGUUGACCUCGGAUCAGGUAGGGAUACCCGCUGAACUUAAGCAUAUCAAUAAGCGGAGGA